rnacentral:rRNA from 1 species
CUAUCGACAGGCUUAACACAUGCAAGUCGAGGGGCAGCACAGGUAGCAAUACCGGGUGGCGACCGGCGCACGGGUGAGUAACGCGUAUGCAACUUACCUAUCAGAGGGGGAUAACCCGGCGAAAGUCGGACUAAUACCGCAUGAAGCAGGGGCCCCGCAUGGGGAUAUUUGCUAAAGAUUCAUCGCUGAUAGAUAGGCAUGCGUUCCAUUAGGCAGUUGGCGGGGUAACGGCCCACCAAACCGACGAUGGAUAGGGGUUCUGAGAGGAAGGUCCCCCACAUUGGUACUGAGACACGGACCAAACUCCUACGGGAGGCAGCAGUGAGGAAUAUUGGUCAAUGGCCGAGAGGCUGAACCAGCCAAGUCGCGUGAGGGAUGAAGGUUCUAUGGAUCGUAAACCUCUUUUAUAAGGGAAUAAAGUGCGGGACGUGUCCCGUUUUGUAUGUACCUUAUGAAUAAGGAUCGGCUAACUCCGUGCCAGCAGCCGCGGUAAUACGGAGGAUCCGAGCGUUAUCCGGAUUUAUUGGGUUUAAAGGGUGCGUAGGCGGCCUUUUAAGUCAGCGGUGAAAGUCUGUGGCUCAACCAUAGAAUUGCCGUUGAAACUGGGGGGCUUGAGUAUGUUUGAGGCAGGCGGAAUGCGUGGUGUAGCGGUGAAAUGCAUAGAUAUCACGCAGAACCCCGAUUGCGAAGGCAGCCUGCCAAGCCAUUACUGACGCUGAUGCACGAAAGCGUGGGGAUCAAACAGGAUUAGAUACCCUGGUAGUCCACGCAGUAAACGAUGAUCACUAGCUGUUUGCGAUACACUGUAAGCGGCACAGCGAAAGCGUUAAGUGAUCCACCUGGGGAGUACGCCGGCAACGGUGAAACUCAAAGGAAUUGACGGGGGCCCGCACAAGCGGAGGAACAUGUGGUUUAAUUCGAUGAUACGCGAGGAACCUUACCCGGGUUUGAACGCAUUCGGACCGAGGUGGAAACACCUUUUCUAGCAAUAGCCGUUUGCGAGGUGCUGCAUGGUUGUCGUCAGCUCGUGCCGUGAGGUGUCGGCUUAAGUGCCAUAACGAGCGCAACCCUUGCCACUAGUUACUAACAGGUAAAGCUGAGGACUCUGGUGGGACUGCCAGCGUAAGCUGCGAGGAAGGCGGGGAUGACGUCAAAUCAGCACGGCCCUUACAUCCGGGGCGACACACGUGUUACAAUGGCGUGGACAAAGGGAAGCCACCUGGCGACAGGGAGCGAAUCCCCAAACCACGUCUCAGUUCGGAUCGGAGUCUGCAACCCGACUCCGUGAAGCUGGAUUCGCUAGUAAUCGCGCAUCAGCCAUGGCGCGGUGAAUACGUUCCCGGGCCUUGUACACACCGCCCGUCAAGCCAUGGGAGCCGGGGGUACCUGAAGUCCGUAACCGCGAGGAUCGGCCUAGGGUAAAACUGGUGACUG